UUUUUUUUAUAACCUAACCCUGCUUCAUAUUUCUCCACAACUUUAUCCCUGACCUGUUUGGUGAGCUCCUUGGUCUUCAUGAUGCUGUUUGUUCAGUAAUGAUCUCCAACAAACUCUGAGUCCGUCACAGAACAGGUGUAUUUAUACUGAGAUUAAAUUGCAGACAGGUGGACCCUAUUUACUAAUUAUGUGACUUGCAAAUGUGACUUGUGAAUGCAAUUGGUCGCACCAGAUCUUUGUUAGGGGUUUCACAGUAAAGGGGGUGAAUACAUAUGCACUCGACACUUUUCAGAUUUUUAUUUGUAAAUAAUUGUGAAAUCCAUGUAAUAUUUCCCCCCACUUCCAAAUGAUGCACUAUUUCGUGUUGGUCCAUUACAUAAACUCACGAUGAAAUAAAUUUUAAUCUGUGGUUAUACCAUGACAAAAUGUAGAAAAGUCCAAAGGGGGUGAAUACUUAUGCAAGGCACUGUAUAUCUAGCUCAUAAUUCCACUGUGAUUAAGUUACUAUCUACUGUAGUUUGAGGAGCUAAGGGACAUAGACUGUUAUAACCAUAAAUGAAAGAACACACAAUACACAACAUGCUUAACUGUGAUUAGCAAUUUUUUUACCUUGUUGAAUUUAAAGGGCAUCUCUUUGGUGUUUGCUUCAUCAAAGCGGUUCAUCCAGUUUCCCUUAAAGUAGAUGGCAUUGACCAGCGCCAGCCUUGACAUUGCAGUGACUGUUCCCUGCUUCAGCAGAUCUUUUAUUUUAUCUGAAAUGUAACAGAAAACCUGAGAAUCCAGAACAAUGGAGAAAGAUUUAUUUCCUUUUUCAUUGAACUCAGGUGUAAAGUCGUACUUUCUGUCUGCUGCUCGACCCAGGUGUUGAUCUCCGCUCUGCUUGCCUCCGCGGCCCCGAUGAAAUCCACAGUCUUCAGGUCGGCCUGGUAGUACUUACACGUGGCUUCCAGGAAUCGCUGCACAGACCACAUAUCAUCUUAUACUUUCAAGGAAGCUUUUAAGAAGUAUCAAUUUCUGCUAAGAUAACUGAAAAGUUAAAAACUCACAGGAAGAAACUUUUCGGUUUUCUCCCCAUACAGACGAUUGGCUGUUUUCAGAAUGUAUGACGCCGAUGGUGAGUUGAUGUCUGCGAUUAGCGUCUCGAAGUCGGCGUGGACGGCUUCACCAGAACUGAAUGACAGGGCCUGUGUGGAAGUUUGGAUUGACACAUGAUGACACGGAAACCCGAGUGAGAUGCUGCAGAUGCAAAUUUUUAACACUGAAGUCAUCAAUGCAUGAGACGAAAACAAUAUACAACUAACAGAGACAUGGUGUGAUGUACCUGGGCCAUUUGAGCAGCUGUGUCUCCUCUGGCUCCCAGGUAGACCAUAGCCAGAGCUGAACUGAUGCUCAGCGGAGACACCAACACAUUCCCCGAUGGGUUUGCACGGCUCAGAGUCCGGAACAGCUCCAAGGCAAAGGCUGUGUUUGAGCUGCUGAUGGCGGCCAUGGCUGAGGAUGUACAGUUGUCCUGUAAUGAACAAAAACAGAUUUUAAGACAUGUAAUUUGACAUCUGAACAGAAAUGCACCUGAUUGCUGCUUGACUGUAUUUCAUUUUUUUUGCGGAACAAAAAGUGCUAAGACCCAGAGACCCAGCAGCUUGGUUGGGAUUCAACUAAACUCAAUGUUUUAUUGUAUAUGGCGCCAGAUCAUAAUGCACAUUCUCUCAUAGCACUUUGAUGAUGAUACCGUGGACAGAAAGUAACAGUAAUGAUGACGAAGGGAUGCUAUUAAUAAACAGGGGGUGUAAACCA